AGGUCUAGCAAUCUGCGGUCCUGUCUUAACCGUGGCAUUUCCUUUCAGUAUAAGCUUGGUUUCUGUGCUCUUUUCUGUAAAAAUAGGGAUAUUUAGACUUGCCUGGCCUAUCUUGCUGGGCUGCUUCAGGCGAAUUGCGUGAAAUAAUAGCUUUGAAAUCACUGAAGAGGACAGGAGAUGGAUGUAGGUUACAGUCUUGGGACUUUAUGUCAUCCGAUAUCGUGCUUCUGCUACUCCCUCCAGCCUGCAACUCAGUUUGAAGGUCAAUUAAUAAAAGUUUCUGGAGCAUCUACUCUGUGUCUGUACUUUCCCAGGCUCUGGAGGAACAGUGGGUGCAUGGAUCCAGCACUCGAGUGAGAGACAGACGCCAAGUCAACAGAAUAUACAAGUUUAUCUAAGAUGAGGGAAGUUUGGCCAAAGACACCAGCCAGGGGCUGAGCUGAAGAUGAACCGCCCUGGUUGGCUCAGUCAUCUUAGAGGAGGGCGUGCGUCUACCCGAGACGUAAAGGCUGCUGUGAUGGGUUGAAUUAUGGUCCCACCCUCCUCCAAAGAUAUGUCAAAGUCCUAACCCCCAGUACCCGUGAGUGUGACCUUAUUUGGAAAUGGGGUCAUUGCAGAUGUAGUUGGUUAAGAUGAGGUGAUACCGGACUAGGGCGGACCCUUCAUCUGACGUGACCGGCGGCCUUAGAAGAAGAGAGACAAACGCAGAGGAAAACACCUCUGAAGACGGAGGCAGGGUCUGGAGCGAUGCAUCUGCAGGCCUGGGAAUACCAAGCUCUGCUGGCGACACCAAAAGCUAGAAGAAGCAAACAAGGAUCCACCCCUACGGUGCUCAGAGGGAACACAGUGCUGCUGACACCUUGGUUUUGGACUUCUGGUUGCCCGAAUUGUGAGACCCUUCUGUUGUUUUGAACCACCCGGUUUGUGGUCCUUCGUGACAACAGCCCCAGGAAACGAAUAUCGAUCUGUAGGAGCCAGAGAGAGAGAGCACACAAGCAGGGGGAGAAGCAGGCUCUCCACUGAGCUGUAAUGGACAAAGUCAAGAGAAGGAAGAGAAUGGAAGGUACUGCUCAAGAUUUAUCCAGUGGGUACUCCGAUGUGUUCCCCAGAAACUUUAUUGUCUCAGCUGUAAACUAUUUUGGAAACCAGAGCCCUUCGGACUUCUAAAGGAGCUCGAUCCUUCUAGCAUAUCCCUCUUGAAAAUGAAGAAUCGAACAAGACAGUUGCUGCUUGGCCCUGGGCAAACGUGGAUUGAAGGUGCCCAUCAUGAUCUCCGUGUUUCUCUGGGGAUGGAGGGCGACUGACAGCCGUGUAGUAUUAGUACAAUGGUAUCAACAUGGAGCCUGUAUUUGAAAUUUUGUUUCCCAUCCUGCCUUGAGAACAUUUUUUGCUUUUUUCACAAGAUCUGGACAGUGGAGAUCGGGAAAGGUUUAACAUAUGAUCAUUCAUAACAACUUGGCUUAUUGCAAGAAGGGGGGAAAUAUUCAUAGAUGAAACAUUAGAAGUGUUAAAAAUGCAGGUGCAUUGACUGCCAGAAUCACAUCACAGGAGCUAAUGUUCCCAAACUCCUAACCUCAAAACCCAGACAAAAUAUUCAGUGCACUGCACUAGAAACUUCUGUCCUGGGACUAUUAUUACCCUUUGCAUUCUGGAGGACAAGUGGGACGGGCAUAAAUCUGUCCCUUUCCCCUUUCAACGACUGAAUGUUGCUUCUGUUCGAGUCCGCUGCUUUCACCACGUUCCCGGGCUCCGCACAGAAACGGGUUGUGCGGAGCUUCGUGAGCGAAUAUCGAGGCGCCAUGGAGACAUGCUGCCAUAAAAGUGUCUUCUCUCAUUUUCAAGGUAAACAAAUGUUAUUGCCACCAGGAAAUAGACCACAUGAAAAGAAACGUCGGGAACCUGGAAGAGCUGCCCAGGCAGUAAUUCUUUUCGGUUUCCAAGUUCAUUACCCUCAUUAACUCAAGUCAAUGGGACAGAACAAAAGGCUUCUCAAAAGCCCCAUAAACAUGAGGCAUACAUAUUUUAAAUCUCCAGCUAUAAAAUAAUGAAGCUGAUUUUUCUUCUUGCUCACGGUGCCCGUCCAGUUUUUCCCUUAUGAUAAGUGUGCCUUGUAAUAUAGUCCUUGCAUCCUGUGUUACAAAGUACUAUCUUGAACUCACUGAUGGUUGGUGGGGGCGGGGGGGGGGGCAUGGAAGGCAAACAGCCAUAACGCUGACUUUCCCUGUUUAGACUGUAGGAGGUGGCAGGUGUCACAGGGAACUUGUUGAGAAACAUGCAUGUCUGCAGGUGGAAGGUUAAGCCCUGUGAAGGUGCAAGGGUCCCCACUUCUGUGAAAUUUCUGCGGGUCUGGGGGUCUGGCACAUGCUGGGACUUCCCCUCCAAUGUGAAGGGAUGGCUGCUGCGCUUCGGGUCCCCUGCCAUCAGAUAUGGAAGAUGCACAUGCUUGGGUUUUGGAAGCUACCUAUGGCAUAUGUGGAUGACCUGUUCUUGCCGAUUUACUGGGUGACUCAAAAAGCCACCAGCUUGGAGAGUGAGAGAAGGCUCUUGAGCAGGGCCAGGCUACAGUUCAGUGGCUCUGACCCUCAGAGUUCACGGCCCACCCUCCUACCGUCAGGAGUCGCUGGUGGCUCUCUAAGAUGCUGUGAUGGUUUAUUUUACAUGUCAACUUGGAUGGCCCAUGGUGUGCCCGGUUAUUUGGUCAAACGUUAUUCUGGGUGUGUCUGUAAGGGCUGUUUCUGGAUGAGAUUAACAUUGGAAUCAGUAGACUGAGGAAGGAAGAGUGCCCUCCCCAAUGUGGGUGGGCCCUAUCUAAUCAGUUGAGGGCCUGAAGAGAACAGAAAUGCUGACACUCAUGAAUAAGAGGGAACUUCUCCUGCCUGAUGGCCUUGACCUGGGACAUUGGUCUUUUUCCAGCCUUUGGACUCAAACUGAAACAUUGGCUUUUCCUGGGUCUUGAGCCUGCUGGCAUAUGGACUGAAAAUUUCACCAUCAGCUCUCCUGGGGCUCUGGCUUGCUGACUGAAAUCUUGGGACUUCUCAGUGAGCCAACGCCUUAUAAUAAGAUAAGAGAGAGAGAGAGAGGAGAUAUUUAUAUUUAUAUUUAUAUUUAUAUUUAUAUUUAUAUUUAUAUUUAUAUAUAAAGGUUCUGUUUCUCUGGAGAUUCCUGACUGAUACGGAUGGGGAAAUGAUCCUCUGAAGCUCAGACAUGGCAUUGUGAGUUGGGAGUCAAGAGCCUAUGAAGCUCUCUAUCCUUCAGGAGGUAGGACGUCCAACCCCCAUCCAGAGGUCCAUGCUCGAUGCUUUUCUCCUUGUGGCUGAAAUAUGUAUGUCUGGGGACCCCAGGAUGGAGGUGGGAGUGAUGCCUCUCUUGGUGGCACCCCAUGUUUUCUUCCUAUCCCCUCUGUGGCCAUGGCUCUGUUGGUUUACGGGUUUUAGUUUCCAGACACAGUAAUGGUUCUACCCUGAGACUCUCCCAGGCGAUUUUUGACAUCUUAUGCCUUUGGACAAAUAGAUUUCCCCCUCCCAAAGUGGGCAGGUUUCUAAUAUUGGCUGAAAUGAUGGAUCCUGUUGAGGGGAAUCAGGUUGCUGCCACAAGUGUGGGGGUGGGGGGGCUUGUGGCCCUGAGUCUGCGAGCUAAAACUCUUCCCCCUGCCAGAGGCAAACACUGAUGGGGGGGCGCAGCCCUGCACAGGGCAGUCUCCACACUCCUGCUACUGGAGGCCCCACUGCCUCCCAUCAUGCACUCAUCCCACAUUACGUAUAUUUGCUAUUAAAUUUCUGAAGAGGGUUUUACAAUUUUGCUUUUGACAUUAUUAUUCAUUUGAUGUUCUGUCUUCUCCGUCUUUUUUGUGGCCAAUAUUUCUUUCAAAUUUUAAUCAUGUCCAAAGAUGCUUGAAAUGUUUGUAGGCUCGGGGCUCCUGGGUGGCUCAGUCGAUUAAGCAUCUGCCUCCGGCUCAGGUCAUGAUCUCAGGGUCCUGGGAUCGAGCCCCAGAUCGGGCUCUCUGCUCAGUGGGGAGCCUUCUUCUCCCUCUCCCUCUGCCUGCUGCUCCCCCUGCUUGUGCUCUCUGUCAAAUAAAUAAAUAAAAUCUUGAAAAAUAAAUAAAUAGGGGUGCCUGGGUGGCUCAGUCGUUAAGCGUCUGCCUUCGUCUCAGGUCAUGAUCCCAGGGUCCUGGGAUCGAGCCCCACAUCGGGCUCCCUGCUCUGCGGGAAGCCUGCUUCUCCCUCUCCCACUCCCCCUGCUUGUGUUCCCUCUCUCGCUGUGUCUCUCUCUGUCAAAUAAAUUAAAAAAUCUUAAAAAAUAAAAAUAAAUAAAUAAAUAAUGCUCGUCGGCUCGAGGCAUUGUGUGCCCAGAGGGUCUAAUGGAAAAAAAUAACUUAGUCCAUCUAGAAGGACGACAUGACCACAGGAUCUGAUCUGCCACAGUGAAGGUCUGAGUCCCCCCAACCAGCUCAGAAUGGGGAGCCAGCCGGGGGAAGGUGCCGGGGGAAGGAAGAACAGGAGUGUGUCUGUGUGCCCAUAUGUGUGUGUGUUGGUUUCUAGUUAACUGACCUCUUUUUUUCUUUGCUUUACGGUUACGUGUGUUAUAGGUUUUAGGGGCUAAGUUUAACCUUUAAUCCAAAGUUUGCAUUAUGUCCACAUGAGAUCGUGGUAGAACCAGAAGAAGAGCAGACUUUCCUGCAGAUCCUGAGUUUGAAGCUGGAUACAUUUGUGUAUGAGUUAUUGGGAGCUGGGUGAUUUCCAUUUGCAUAGAUAGUAAUUGUAUUCUAUUUCAGGCAUAUCUGGAGUUAUUUGUAUAUACAGCAGGGUGUGUGGGCAUUAGGCAGUCAGGGAGUGGACUAGAAUGACUGUCUUGCUGCCGGCUUGGCAUUCAUGCUUUUUUCUUUCUUUUUUUUUUUUUUUUUUGAGAGAGAGUGUGAGUGGGGGUUGAGGGGCAGAGGGAGAGGGAGAGAGAGAAUCUUAAGCAGGCUCCACGCCCAUUGCAGAGGCCAUGGUGGGGCUUGAUCUCACGACCCCGAGAUCAUGACCUGAGCUGAAAUCAAGAGUGGGACCCUUCACCGAUGCGUCACCCAGGAGCCCCCCUGGUAUUCCUUCUUCCCCCUUCUGAUGCAGCAUGCUAACACUGGUUGGGAACUUAGUCCUCUCUUAUUGGAUACAGUCUUGAAAAAACUGUCAGUUAAAAUGUUCCUCCUUCCCCUGCAAAGGGCUGGAUGCAUGACAUAAGUCAGAUCAGUCAAAUACUUUCUCCCUGAAAUUGGAAUCUCUAGCAGGAUUACACCAAAGUUUCAAAUGGCCGGAGCUAUGUUGCCUCAGAAGGAACGGCCUAGGGAAAUCGUCACUUUGUUCCUGUUCCUACAUCUCUGCUCUUGUUCUGAGUCUGGUUCUUCCCCUCUGACUUUAUCCUACGGGCUACUCCAUGUCCUUCUAAUAAAUUCCACUGUGGUAUAAAUUGGCCAGAGCGUUGUCUCUGCAGUUGAACGCAUGGCAGCAGGGACCACUACCCUGGGAGGGUGUGCGGUGAGAACGGGAGGGAAGAGGAGGGGGAGAGAGGAGCGGACAACAAUGAGGGGCAGCCCAGAGCCUGGAGGAAGGCGUGGAGAAUCCAAGGCAGAGCCGCAGGGAGAGGUGAUGGCCAGUGGGAGACUCCGGGCAGCAGGGUCAGAACCUGCUGGGAGGCCAGGGACUGAUACGUGCCCACUGCAUCUACUGAUGGUUUCAGUGUGUACCUUGAGGACAGGUGGGCAAAGCUUGACUGCCGUGGGCUGAGGGGUCCGUGGAAGUGAGGGUAGACAAUAUUUAGUUAAGAUACAAGUUCGGCUGCUUUUGCAUGGAUCACAGUGGCUCGGACAACAUGGGAGGGCUAAUUCUCUCUCAUGUGAAGCCCAGCACCCCUUAGGUGGGUGGUUCUGUUCCAUGAGGUCAUCCUUUGACUGAGCUCCUCCUACAAGUCACUCUGCUGUCCCCAGGGUGUUUUUUACAUCCAUCUAACCAAAGCCAAGCAGUCAGGCAGUGAAGGAAAGAGAUGGGGACGAGCUGGGGGAGCGCUGGCGUCCCGGGUCCACAGGGGCAAUAGAAGGAGAUGUUGAGGGUGUAAGAAAAGUCGAUGAUAAGAGAGGGAGAGCUUAGAGAAGGAGGGGCCAUAGGUCAGUGUGCAGAGAACUUGACCUUGGAUAGGAGGAUGGAAAGGAGGAAAAGAUAGAAGAAAAUACAAAGGGGUUUGUGGGCUUGAUGACUGGUAGCAGAGAGCAUCUGUUGGCCACCAUUUGCUGUAUAAAAUAGGAAACCAAGUCUCCUGCUAAAAUCAAAUGGGAAGGAGGGCAGCUGGGUGUCUGAGAGAGGGGAGACAGAAAUAGUCCUUGCUGGGGGGCUGGGCAGGUGAGCAUGAUGGAGAUCGCUUGGCAAGAUCCAAGAGUACAGGGGAAGUUGGUGAGUGGCACCCCAAUCUUGGUGGCUGGGAGAUUUCUCCGGUCAGGGGUGCUAAGCAAAUCAGGUACAGGAUUAGGUUUCUCCCAUCCAAGUUCCUAUGGGGGAAAGAAACGAGGAUGCCUUUAUUGGAAUGAUCACAUAAGCAUUUCAAUUUGUCUCCUAAAACACAGCACAGAAAAACAAUCCCCGUUUUUGCAAUACUGGGUCUGGGGAACAGUACUGGUGAGAAUCAAUGCUUUCAUAAAGUCAAACUUCUAUUGGUUGUUACUCAGACCUUUGAAACGAAUGCACACAUCUUCUGAACGACCGGCAUCAUUCAUUAGUGUGACGAGAAGAAAGAGCCUUCGUUACGAUCAGAAAGCUGUUGAGAGAUGAGCAAUGUCCAGCUUGCGGGCUCCAUGCCGCGGAGGGGGGAAGGCUGGCCGCCCGUGUGGCAAUGGGCACGCAGGAAGCAUGCGACUGCCCAUCCUGGGUCACCAGUAAUUGGUGAGCAUCACGGGUAAAGAGUUUUAUGGGUCGUAAUAGUUUUCUGUAAAUGAAAAUUGCUCCUCCUUGCCGGGCAAUUGAGUUAUAUUUGACUUAAUCCAGGAAAGUCUUAUUCAUCUGAACUAUGACAUACAUGAGUCAAUAAGUGAGUGUCACCCGGAGACUUAACGAGGCACUGUUACCCUUUCAGUCCUAGGAUGGUCGCUUCCAGAGGUGUUUGGAGGUUGGCUGUGCUGUUUCGAUCAUCUCCGGAUGAAGCUGAUGGGGUGACUGGUGGAGGACGGGGGUGGGACAAGGUCUUCCAUAGGCUUUUCGCCGAUUUCACCAAGCUCAGCAGCUACAUGUCAAAGGCAGCCCAGAGGUUUUCAUUUUCCCCUGUGAGCCUCUCAUUUACUCAGUGGUUUCCAUGAAAGACCAAGUUCUUAAGAAGCGAUUAUUGCAGUAAUAUUAAUAAUAACAGUGAUGACAUUUUCCCUCUAAAGGAUGUUCGCAGUUGGGGCUUCUGUGAUUUUCCACAGGGACACUAGCCAGGGAAAAGGAAAGCUUCCAUCCGCUUUUAAAUGUACCCUGGAGUCCACGUAUGUUCCUGAACUCAAGCCUGUGUUGGGUCGCAUGGGAGCUCUUCCUCAAAACGUUCAGAACAGCAAAAACAUUAUCUUGUGAAACAAGGAAAGACACAAAUUUAAGUUUAAACCAAGAGGGAGAAGGAUUCCCUGAGAGUCCCAGCACAGCAGGUGUUCUGGGGUCCCUUGGGUGGGCACCCCAAGGGUCUCCCAGGAGCUCCGAGCUACCCUCUCGCAUUCUUCUUCAAGGGCCAUGUGCUGAUGAACACAGCACUCUGCAUUUAUAUGGUGGAGCAUCUCAACACAGUGCCCCAGAGCCAGCAGGGAGCUCUGUCAGGGGAAAAGCAACUUUCCCUGUUUUAAUAUGGAUGAAUUGAUCCUUGGGCAUUUCUUUCUUUGGGAGAAUCAGACAGAUUGCAUCAAGUCUCUGAGUGGAGAGUGGAAAUUAUGCGUCUGUGGAGUGUGGAUUAAGCUAUUUGCUGGACGUUAUAUAUUUCCCUGCCUGCAUUAACAGUACAAAUGAGUCAUAAAUACCACAGAGAUAUGUGUAGAUUUUUAAACAUUAACUUGGGAUUUGAAAGUUAGAAUAAUUAGCCUCAGGAUAAAUGUAUAGAAUAUGAGAUUCUAUUUUAAAUGUGUGUCAACGCCACUGAAUCCUCGGUUUAUGUGGGUCUCUACAUGUGGUUAACAGGAGAAACUAGUUGAGGGAAGAAUGAGCGUGUUUAUGAUAACUUAGCUCCUAGGUUUCAAGAUUAGUUUGCUGUCAAGACAGAUUUUAAUCCUUUCAUUUUAUUCUUCCAUCAUUUAUAAUCAAGUCUUUGCUGGUGGUCUGAACUUCUCACCCUUGACAGACACACACCCAGAAGCAAAAACAAAGCAAACUUAGUUAAAUAUGACAUAUUCCCUGGUCGUAAUGAAAUUCUAAGCUCCCCAUAUCCAUUUUGAUAAUAAUGAUCAUUCCUUUCAAAAUAAGGAUCCAUACUUUCCACUAGGCUGGCAAUUUUGAAGAUUUGCAUCAAAAAUUUUUUUUAAGUAUCUACAUGUAUCAGGCACUUCUGGCUUCCACUUCCGAUCCUCUCCACCUCCCCUCCUACUCCACCCAGGUGGUUCUUAGCUGACUUCUAUCGGCUUUGUGGGCUGGGGAGCAGCCCUACCUCAAGCCUGAGUGGGGUGUCUCUGGUAGCAGGUGAUGCGGAGGGGGGUGCCUAUCAGCACUGACCCCCCCACACACACCGUCCAACCCAGAGGUGUGGGGAGAUGGAGGCGUGGUCUACCCCUGAUCAAUGGUGGGCAGGAGCUGGCAAGCACAUGUCCUCCCCAGGAGGACAGUUCUGAGACUCAUUUCGUGAGGCUCCUCAGAGAGUCCCACCAGACAGGGCCCCCUGGCCAACUGGGUAACACAUCCUUGACUCGGCUUCCCUCCCUUUUAUCUCUGCUUCUCUGACCCUUCCUGCUGCUUCCUGGGUUUACACUCCCAAGUAAACAUUUCUCCGGCUCUGCUGUUGAGGGAACCCAGAUCAAGAGUAAUAUGAGUUUAUAUCAAGAAAAAUCCCCCCCACACUUAAUUAUUACCACUGACAUUCUAAUUUCCUACCCACAGAAAUUAAAUUUUAAUAGUCCUUUCCUUUACAGUUUUAUCAAUUAAGCUUCCCUGUCUCAUAAUGACACCUGCUGGAAUUGUGCUGGUAAUGAUUAAAUAGCGUAUCUACCCGUGAGCCACAGGGGCAGGGAAGGGCAGUGGAAGGGAAAUGGACUUUGAGUUUCCAUUCCAGCCCCACCUCUUACUAACUGUGUGACUUUGGGCAAAUCACUUAACCUCUCUGGGCCUCAUUUGUGAAAUGACCUUAAUACCAUAAAAGUACAAGAUUAAUGACAAAUAAAAAAAGAAAGAACCUUUCACCUGGAAGUGUAAACACUUCUGUUAAGUCAAUGAAGAAGCAUAAAAUGAAAUUGCGGGGUGUUUCGAAAAUAACAACCAAGAAAACACAACACAUCAAAAUGUCUGUGACAGAAAGCUAAAACCUGGAGCAAAAUUAUAACAUUGAGCACCCGUAACAGUAAACAUGAAAACAUGGAAAGGAAUGAGUGAAACACCCACUGAAAAAUAAGAGACAGACACACAGGACAGACAAAUGUUUACCUUUUGAAAAUUCAAAGAAAAUUAAUAACCCACCCACUGGAAAAUUGCUCAUGGGAAAAAAAGAUAAGAAAAAAAAUAAGCAACACAGAGGAUGAAAAAAGGACAAAACUACAAAUCAGCAGAAAUGUAAAAUAUAGAAAGACAAUAUUAUAAAAAUGUCAUGCCAAAGAAGAUGAAUACUGAGAUUAAUGGGCAAAUUUCUGGAAAAAUUACGGCUUGUCAACACUGACUGGAGAGGAAAUAGAAAACCCAAUCCUCCCUAAGUUGAUUUACGGCACAACCCCAAUGAGACUCUCAUGUUGGUUUCUGAAGCUGUUGAUUAUAAUGUCAUGAAGAACAAACAAGCAAAGAAAAACCAGGAAAAGAAAUGCAGUGUUGGGGCGACCUGAGUGCCUCAGUUGGUUAAGUGACCAACUUGUGAUUUCAGCUCAGUGAUCUCAUGGGUCAUGGGAUCGAGCCCCACGUCAGACUUCCCACUCAGUGGGGAGUCUCUCAAGAUUCUCUCUCUUCCUCUCCCUCUGCCCCUCUCCCUGC